GAUGAACGCUGGCGGCGUGCCUAAUACAUGCAAGUCGAGCGAACAGACGAGGAGCUUGCUCCUCUGACGUUAGCGGCGGACGGGUGAGUAACACGUGGAUAACCUACCUAUAAGACUGGGAUAACUUCGGGAAGCCGGAGCUAAUACCGGAUAAUAUAUUGAACCGCAUGGUUCAAUAGUGAAAGACGGUUUUGCUGUCACUUAUAGAUGGAUCCGCGCCGCAUUAGCUAGUUGGUAAGGUAACGGCUUACCAAGGCGACGAUGCGUAGCCGACCUGAGAGGGUGAUCGGCCACACUGGAACUGAGACACGGUCCAGACUCCUACGGGAGGCAGCAGUAGGGAAUCUUCCGCAAUGGGCGAAAGCCUGACGGAGCAACGCCGCGUGAGUGAUGAAGGUCUUCGGAUCGUAAAACUCUGUUAUUAGGGAAGAAUAAAUGUGUAAGUAACUAUGCACGUCUUGACGGUACCUAAUCAGAAAGCCACGGCUAACUACGUG
rnacentral:rRNA from 1 species